UACGUAGGGGGGCAAGCGUUGUCCGGAUUUAUUGGGCGUAAAGAGCGUGUAGGCGGUCAGGUAGGUCCGUUGUGAAAACUCGAGGCUCAACCUCGAGACGCCGAUGGAAACCAUCUGACUAGAGUCCGGAAGAGGAGAGUGGAAUUCCUGGUGUAGCGGUGAAAUGCGCAGAUAUCAGGAGGAACACCGAUGGCGAAGGCAGAUCUCUGGGCCGUAACUGACGCUGAGGAGCGAAAGCAUGGGGAGCGAACAGG
rnacentral:rRNA from 1 species